rnacentral:lncRNA from 1 species
AUUCAUACCAUCGCCGGAUUUACUUGUCAAGGGGCAGGACUAACAAGUGUAUUAGGUUCUAGAAAAGCUGUGCCUGCUUCCUUCUGGAAAAUUCCAGCGCUAGAGGAUGUAGGUAGGAUAAGGUCUGAAGACCGGUCGAGGAAUGCAGGAUCAUGGAAGGUUUAGGAGCUGGGCCUCCAUGUCUUCUGUACACAUUGGCCAACGUGAAGUGUUCCUCCAUCUUCUCAGUGAUUCCCAGGAGCUUGGACAAGGUGACUGUGUCCACCCCAAUGAUGGGACCUCAUCAGAACAUCCAGAGAACACACUGUGUGUCAUAUACUACAACGGGCUCUGAGGAGGCCCGAGUACCCAACUACUCCAACAACAGUGGACCAGAGCAAAGACCUCAAGCCUCUAAAGCUUCAGCUUACACAGAAGCCAGGCAGAGGUGCCCAGGCUGACCUGGCCUGAUGUAUCUUGUUCCUCUUGAGGCCUCCGCUGCCUGACCCAUGGCUAAGAACCUGGAACUGGUGCGUUGUCCUGUGAAUGGUCUCUGGCCCGACUCAGCACCCUCUGGGGUUAUUUGACACUUCCAAAAAGAUUUCAGUCAACUCCUAUUUUCAUUGGUUUUUGUUCAAACUACCAUCUUCAUUUCUCACAGAAAGAGAGUUAUCUGUAGUCAAUAAGGCUGUAAGAGCAGGAGGACCAUGGAUGCUUUGGGUUGUAUUUGCUUACGUUGUGUUAAAGGGUUCUUAUGUAUAGUAUUAAGCAUCCACAUUUUUUUCUCAAAAAAUAUCAUGGAGGCUAUUGUCUACCUAUCCCUGAG